GUGCUCGCUUGGGCAGCACAUUGACUGAAAUUAGACGCUACGGAGAUUACCAUGGCCCUUGCGCAAGGAUGACUCGCAAAUUUCCGAUGCGUCCCAUAUUUAA